rnacentral:misc_RNA from 1 species
GAUGAAGAACGCAGCGAAAUGCGAUAAGUAAUGUGAAUUGCAGAAUUCAGUGAAUCAUCGAAUCUUUGAACGCACAUUGCGCCCCCUGGUAUUCCGGGGGGCAUGCCUGUCCGAGCGUCAUUGCUGCCCUCAAGCACGGCUUGUGUGUUGGGCCGUCGUCCCCCUCCUUGGGGACGGGCCCGAAAGGCAGCGGCGGCACCGCGUCCGGUCCUCGAGCGUAUGGGGCUUCGUCACCCGCUCCGUAGGCCCGGCCGGCGCUUGCCGACGACCAUCAAUCUCUUUCUCCAGGUUGACCUCGGAUCAGGUAGGGAUACCCGCUGAACUUAAGCAUAUCAAUAAGCGGAGGA